rnacentral:rRNA from 1 species
GCAUAUCAAUAAGCGGAGGAAAAGAAACCAACAGGGAUUGCCUCAGUAACGGCGAGUGAAGCGGCAAGAGCUCAAAUUUGAAAGCUGGCCCCCUCGGGGCCCGCAUUGUAAUUUGCAGAGGAUGCUUCGGGAGCAGCCCCCAUCUAAGUGCCCUGGAACGGGCCGUCAUAGAGGGUGAGAAUCCCGUCUGGGAUGGGGUGUCUGCGCCCGUGUGAAGCUCCUUCGACGAGUCGAGUUGUUUGGGAAUGCAGCUCUAAAUGGGUGGUAAAUUUCAUCUAAAGCUAAAUACUGGCCGGAGACCGAUAGCGCACAAGUAGAGUGAUCGAAAGAUGAAAAGCACUUUGAAAAGAGAGUUAAACAGCACGUGAAAUUGUUGAAAGGGAAGCGCUUGCGACCAGACUCGCCCACGGGGUUCAGCCGGCAUUCGUGCCGGUGUACUUCCCCGCGGGCGGGCCAGCGUCGGUUUGGGCGGCCGGUCAAAGGCCCUUGGAAUGUAACGCCCCCCGGGGCGUCUUAUAGCCAAGGGUGCCAUGCGGCCAGCCCGGACCGAGGAACGCGCUUCGGCUCGGACGCUGGCAUAAUGGUCGUAAGCGACCCGUCUUGAAACACGGACC